rnacentral:rRNA from 1 species
AUUGAACGCUGGCGGCAUGCCUAACACAUGCAAGUCGAACGAGUGGCGGACGGGUGAGUAAUGUCUGGGAAACUGCCUUAUGGAGGGGGAUAACUACGGGAAACGGUAGCUAAUACCGCAUACCAUCGGAUGUGCCCAGGGUGGAUUAGGUAGUGGGUGGGGUAAAGGCUCACCUAGGCGACGAACCCUAGCUGGUCUGAGAGGAUGACCAGCCACACUGCGACGUAGACACGGCCCAGACUCCUACGGGAGGCAGCAGUGGGGAAUAUUGCGCAAUGGGCGCAAGCCUGAUGCAGCCAUGCCGCGUGAAUGAAGAAGGCCUUCGGGUUGUAAAGUUCUUUCGGCGGGGAGGCGUUACCCGCAGAAGAAGCCCCGGCUAACUCCGUGCCAGCAGCCGCGGUAAUAC